UUGAAGUAGACUCCAACUCAAAGAGUGUGAGCUCCUUGAAUUGCAUCAGUUUUAACAACGGAAAAUUAAAAAGACAAAAGCACCUGACAGAAGGUGGAAAAAUACCCUGAAGCUUCUGUGGUGUCUUCCUCGCUUGGAGAGCACUGGGAAGCCAAUAACAACAGUUUAUUAUGAAAUAUUUGUUGGAUAUGGAAAUUAGAUAGGGUAGAUAAAUGAGAGAUUUGAAAGAUUGAAAGCUCCCCCCUCCACCCAUUAUAUACUUUUCCUUUGAAGGAGAAACCAGGAAUGUAAAGACUGCUUUGGGAAUAUUUCAUGCUGUAAUUGCUGUCAUUCUAGAAGACUCUGUGGGGUGUUUGGGGCUAACUUAGAAGCUGAGCCUUUCAGACCAGAGAGAUCUAGUUAGUCUCAACUGGGGAAAUCAAGGUGUCCAUCAAGAUUCGCGGAAGAGGGCCUCAAGCUUUCUGAUCGUCUCAAUGUAAUACCACACACUCUGGCUAACACUCAUAGGCAUUGGUAGCCAAAAGGAAAACUUCACAGUGGACUCUGGACCAGCAGGCUGUGCUAGAGGUUUGAUCACCUCCAUCCAGUUCCUCCCCCAAGCAGAGCAUUGGUCAGCUCUGAGGAGUUAGAGCUCCCAAUUAUAUGAAGCAAAUGGGACAUGGACACGUGGCUCACCCUCAUCCUCCUCCAUGGAGCAAGCUGUUGAGUGGGACCAAGAGGAGUCAUCAAAGGAUCCAAAUGAAAGAUCUCCUUAAAUCCUCCUAGUAAAGAGAUACUGCAGAGAAGACAACUGAAGAUGAACAAUUAAUUAAUCAUCCAAAACAAAAUGAACAACUGAAUGAAAGCCAUUUCAUGGUGAAGGGUUCUGCAUGGCUUGAAAAUAAAAUAAUUUAUUCAAUAUGU